AGCGAACGCUGGCGGCAGGCCUAACACAUGCAAGUCGAACGAAGUCUUCGGACUUAGUGGCGGACGGGUGAGUAACACGUGGGAACGUACCUUUUGGUUCGGAACAACUCAGGGAAACUUGAGCUAAUACCGGAUGAGCCCUGAGGGGGAAAGAUUUAUUGCCGAAAGAGCGGCCCGCGUUAGAUUAGCUAGUUGGUGAGGUAAAGGCUCACCAAGGCUACGAUCUAUAGCUGGUCUGAGAGGGUGAUCAGCCACACUGGGACUGAGACACGGCCCAGACUCCUACGGGAGGCAGCAGUGGGGAAUCUUGCGCAAUGGGCGAAAGCCUGACGCAGCCACGCCGCGUGAAUGAUGAAGGUCUUAGGAUUGUAAAAUUCUUUUACCAGGGACGAUAAUGACGGUACCUGGAGAAAAAGCCCCGGCUAACUUCGUGCCAGCCGCCGCGGUAAGAC
rnacentral:rRNA from 1 species